rnacentral:rRNA from 1 species
UGAACGCUGGCGGCAUGCCUUACACAUGCAAGUCGAACGGCAGCGCGGACUUCGGUCUGGCGGCGAGUGGCGAACGGGUGAGUAAUACAUCGGAACGUACCCUGUUGUGGGGGAUAACUAGUCGAAAGAUUAGCUAAUACCGCAUACGACCUGAGGGUGAAAGUGGGGGACCGGAAACGGCCUCAUGCAGCAGGAGCGGCCGAUGUCUGAUUAGCUAGUUGGUGGGGUAAAGGCCCACCAAGGCGACGAUCAGUAGCUGGUCUGAGAGGACGAUCAGCCACACUGGGACUGAGACACGGCCCAGACUCCUACGGGAGGCAGCAGUGGGGAAUUUUGGACAAUGGGGGCAACCCUGAUCCAGCAAUGCCGCGUGUGUGAAGAAGGCCUUCGGGUUGUAAAGCACUUUUGUCCGGAAAGAAAUCGCGCUGGUUAAUACCUGGCGUGGAUGACGGUACCGGAAGAAUAAGCACCGGCUAACUACGUG